GAUGAACGCUAGCGGCAGGCCUAACACAUGCAAGUCGAGGGGUAGAGGAAGCUUGCUUCCUUGAGACCGGCGCACGGGUGCGUAACGCGUAUGCAAUCUACCUUUUACAGAGGGAUAGCCCAGAGAAAUUUGGAUUAAUACCUCAUAGUAUAUAUCAUUCGCAUGUUUGGUAUAUUAAAGUUCUAACGGUAAAAGAUGAGCAUGCGUCCCAUUAGUUAGUUGGUAAGGUAACGGCUUACCAAGACGAUGAUGGGUAGGGGUCCUGAGAGGGAGAUCCCCCACACUGGUACUGAGACACGGACCAGACUCCUACGGGAGGCAGCAGUGAGGAAUAUUGGUCAAUGGACGCAAGUCUGAGCCAGCCAUGCCGCGUGCAGGAAGACGGUCCUAUGGAUUGUAAACUGCUUUUGUACGGGAAGAAACACUCCUACGUGUAGGAGCCUGACGGUACCGUAAGAAUAAGGAUCGGCUAACUCCGUGCCAGCCGCCGCAGUAAUAC
rnacentral:rRNA from 1 species